GACGAACGCUGGCGGCGUGCUUAACACAUGCAAGUCGAACGGAAAGGCCCUGCUUUUGUGGGGUGCUCGAGUGGCGAACGGGUGAGUAACAAGUGAGUAACCUGCCCUUGACUUUGGGAUAACUUCUGGAAACUGGGGCUAAUAACGGAUAGGAGCUCCUGCUGCAUGGUGGGGGUUGGAAAGUUUCGGCGGUUGGGGAUGGACUCGCGGCUUAUCAGCUUGUUGGUGGGGGAGUGGCUUACCAAGGCUUUGCCGGGUAGCCGGCCUGAGAGGGUGACCGGCCACAUUGGGACUGAGGUACGGCCCAGACUCCUACAGGAGGCAGCAGUGGGGAAUAUUGCACAAUGGGCGGAAGCCUGAUGCAGCAACGCCGCGGGCGGGAUGACGGCCUUCGGGUUGUAAACCGCUUUCGCCUGUGACGAAGCGUGAGUGACGGUAAUGGGUAAAGAAGCACCGGCUAACUACGUG
rnacentral:rRNA from 1 species